GGACAGGUAGCUCAGUUGGUAGAGCAACGGACUGAACAGCCGUGUGUCGGCGGUUCGAUCCCGCCCCUGUCCA
rnacentral:tRNA from 1 species